rnacentral:tRNA from 1 species
GUUUUAAUAGUUUAAUUUAAAACUUUGGUCUUGUAAACCAAAAAUGAAAUGUUUCUUAAACCU